UACGUAGGGUGCGAGCGUUGUCCGGAAUUAUUGGGCGUAAAGAGCUCGUAGGCGGCUUGUCACGUCGGAUGUGAAAACCCGGGGCUCAACCCCGGGCCUGCAUUCGAUACGGGCAGGCUAGAGUUCGGCAGGGGAGACUGGAAUUCCCGGUGUAGCGGUGAAAUGCGCAGAUAUCGGGAGGAACACCGGUGGCGAAGGCGGUUCUCUGGGCAUGUCCUGACGCUGAGGAGCGAAAGUGUGGGGAGCGAACAGG
rnacentral:rRNA from 1 species